UCCUUAUUUAUUUGUUUAUUUAUUUUGUUGUUUUUUGUUUUUUACUCCCUUCAUCGUCACCUGCACUGCUAAAACAAUCGCACCUUCACCUUGACUACACGACCUUUACCACACAUCACCAUUGUCUACCUCAUCGUCUCCCAUUUUCUAUUCACCUAUCUCUGGCGAUAAAACCCUAAACAUGAUGUUUACCGCACACAUCGUCGUCUCUACCACCAUUAUCUAUUUUACUGAUACCAACUCUUUGUAAUUUAUGUUUUUAUUGGAUUUUUAGGAAUCUGAUGAAGUCGAAACCGCCACCACGACUGUUUGUUCCGGUCACCGCCCUCCAGGUGUUUUUAUUUGAGGCAUGUAUUUGUCCUACUCAUGGUUACGUCUUCAACCACCCAACAUUGUGGUCUCCACCACCACGAAGAGAUGGAAACCCAAGAGGAUCAAAAUUGGGGGAAUGGUUGGAAUUUCAUCGAGACAAGACAUAUAUUCCUUUCUUUUCUCACCCUUGGUAAUGGAUGUGUCUACAGAGUUGAAGGUGAUGCAUACUUUUCAGUUGAUUGGUUUCCUAAAUAGUGAUGACUUUCAAGGCAGAACUUGGAAAAUAAUCAUGACUGUGAACAAGUAGCAAUUAACUCCAGGAAAGAUAUCCACCUAAUUUUGCUCUAUGGAAACUAAGAUCCUAAUUUGUUGGUUAAAGCUAAGGGUAGUUGGGUAAUUUUACAUAUAUCAUAGUAAUCAGUUCUUUUAUGUCAACAUGCUUCGUGAUUUGUCCCAAUCAUUAUAUUAUUGAUUGUAAUGGAAUGUACAGUUCAAGGAUUCUGGUAGAAUUGGAAUUUGAUAUUCCAUUCCAUAGUGUCCAUGUUGAUGCCACUUGAUUUUGGAACCGUAGAAUCGUCCGUUUAGGUGACUAUGUUGAGGCAUCCGACUGUUAAUAUUCCUAUACAACAUAUUUGACAUAAUGGUGACUGCUACUCUUCAAAAGCAAAUAAAAGAUGUGUAUUUGUGCGCGUGUGUGAAAGGAAAGGACCCAUGAACUUUGAGGUAUUUUUAAAGCGAAUAAUGCUUGGAUGUCUUUUUUCUAGGGGUGAGCAUAAUAACCGAAAAACCGAACCAAAACCAAAUUAACCGAUAUAACCGAACCAUUUUAAAAACCGUUGGUUCGGUUUCUAAUUUUUGUUAACCAAUAACUAACGGUUCGGUUAUAGUUUUAUAGGUUAACCGAACCAUUAUGAACCGAACCGCUAACUUUAUAUUUUAAUAUAUAUAAAAAAAUAUAGAUUAUAUAUAAAAUAAUAUAGUCAAACUUAUUUAAGAUCCAUUAAAAUUUUGAAAAUAUAAUCUAUUAAUCCUCACUUACCAGGAGACGAACGAGCAAUCAAACCAUCAAAAACUGAUCACUCAGACACACAUAAUCUUCCAAUCAUACAUUGAGAUUAGGUUAUUAAUUAAUGUUGUAAUUCAUAAUCGGCUAAUUCUACAAUUUGUAAACAUUAUUCACAAUUAGUUUAAUCUUCACACUCAUAAUCCUAAUCGAAGGCUUCUCACACCGUUAAUCCUAAUCAAAGAUUGUUUGGACUUUAUAGUCCUAUUCGAAGGAUUUUUUGACUUUAUAAUCAAGACUUCUAGGUAAGUUAAGUUUUUGGUUCUUUUUGACUAUGUGAUAUAUUAAGAAUGUAUUUUUUUUUUUUUAUAAUUUUUUGAAUUUUUUUAGUGUUUUUGACUUAAUCACAUUGAAUGUAGAUGAGUGAUUGACUUUUUUUUAUAUCUAAUAACACAUAAUAUGAAUGUUUGGCUCUUUUAUUUAAUAGUUUUAAUUUAAUCGUAUUGAGCGUGUAUGAAUGUUUGACUUUAUUUUAAUAUUAAUAUCAAUUAUCAAUAUAUGAAAUUAUUAAUGUCAAUUUUUUUAAUGUUUUAUAUUUUUAUUGAAUAUUUUUGAUUUUAAAUGUGACUAUGUGUUAUCUCACUCUAAGUAUUAAAGAUACACAUUUUAUUCUAUUACUAUAAGUUAGGUUACAAACAUCGGCGUCGAGGACUUUUUGGUAUUUUAUUUUCAUUUUUCAUGCCAAAAUACUUUCGUCGUUUAUAUUAUUUUGAACGUUAUGGUUAACCAAUAUUAACCAUUAACCAAAACCGUUAACCGAUAAAAACCACUAACCAUAACCAAUAUUAACCAUACCCAAUGGCUACCAAAAUGCAUUAACCAAUCAUAAUGGUUAUGGUUCGGUUUUAACCAAUAACCGAACCAAACCGCCCCAUACACACCCCUACUUUUUUCCACCUCCAAAUUUAGUAGUAGAAAAGGGUUGUAAGAGACCUAGGAGAACAAUGGAAGAUUACUAUACUUGUAGAUCUAUUUAAAAGGAAGCUUACUAAUUUUUCAUAUUACUCCAUUUGAAUUGUUUACUUAUGAACAUUAGUGUUGAA